AUGACUACUGCAGGUUUUGAUGGUCCUUCAGCAAAAAGGAAGAGAAAGAGUCAAUUUAGGGGUAUUCGUCAGCGCCCCUGGGGUAAGUGGGCUGCUGAAAUCAGAGAUCCAAGCAAGGGUGCACGUGUCUGGCUUGGUACUUUCAACAGUGCUGAAGAAGCUGCAAGAGCUUACGAUGUUGAAGCACGCAGGAUCCGUGGCAACAAGGCCAAGGUUAACUUUCCAAAGGAACCAAUAGUUCCACAGAAGCGUCGUGCUCGCCCUGGUGCUCCUAAAGCACCAAAGCUAAGCGUGGCAUCGGAACCUUCUGUCAUGCCAUCAGUCAACAACCUUUCCAACCCAAAUGCUUUCAUCUACCCAUCUGCUAACUUUGCAUCAAACCAGCCACUUGCUCUACCUGACAACCUGUCAUUUUUUCCUAUAAUGAACUCUGAUGGCCCUGUUGAAGCCUCUGUUAUGAAUCAGUACUCUGACCAGGGAAUCAACUCCUUUAGCUUCUCUGACUUGGAGUGGGAUUACAACACCAAGAAUCUAGAUAUACCAUCCAUUGCUCCAAUUUCUACCAUUACUGAAGGAGCAGAAUAUGCACUUGCCCAGAGUAACGCCUAUAACUCAGUUGUGAUUCCUGAAGGAGCUGAAUCUGCACUUGCCCAGAGUAACACCUACAACUUAGUGGUGCCUCAUGUUAUGGAGAACAAUGGUGUCGAUUUCAAUGCUUGGCCAAGGUUUCUUAUGGAUGAUGAAGUGGACGAGCCGAUUGAUAGCCUUCUGAAUUUUGAUGUACCUCAGGAUGUCGUUGUCAACAUGGACCUCUGGAGCUUCGAUGGCAUGCCCAUGUGUGGCGAAUUUUUAUAA
rnacentral:rRNA from 1 species